UGACUUCGGUCAGUGGGCACCGGCGCACGGGUGAGUAACGCGUGGGAACCUACCCAGGGGUGGGGGAUAACCGCUGGAAACGGCGGCUAAUACCGCAUACGCCUUUUUGAGGGAAAGAUUUAUCGCCCUUGGAUGGGCCCGCGUUGGAUUAGGUAGUUGGUGGGGUAAAGGCCUACCAAGCCUACGAUCUAUAGCUGGUCUGAGAGGAUGAUCAGCCACACUGGGACUGAGACACGGCCCAGACUCCUACGGGAGGCAGCAGUGGGGAAUCUUGGACAAUGGGGGCAACCCUGAUCCAGCCAUGCCGCGUGAGUGAAGAAGGCCUUAGGGUUGUAAAGCUCUUUCAACGGUGAAGAUGAUGACUGUAGCCGUAGAAGAAGCCCCGGCUAACUCCGUGCCAGCAGCCGCGGUAAUACGGAGGGGGCAAGCGUUGUUCGGAAUUACUGGGCGUAAAGGGCGUGUAGGCGGCCAAACAAGUCAGAGGUGAAAGCCCUGGGCUCAACCUGGGAACUGCCUUUGAAACUGUUUGGCUUGAGACCGGAAGAGGAUGGCGGAAUUCCCAGUGUAGAGGUGAAAUUCGUAGAUAUUGGGAAGAACACCGGU
rnacentral:rRNA from 1 species